rnacentral:tRNA from 3 species
GCCGGUAUCGUCUAGGGGUUAGGACACGUGGUUCUCAGCCACGGAACCGGGGUUCGAAUCCCCGUACCGGUACCA